UAUAUUUGUGCCAGCUGCCGCGGUUAGACAUAAGAUUCAAGUGAAUUAAAACGGUAUUUAUGGUAAAUUUAAGUAGUGAUAAAAUAAAGAAUUAAAAUGGGUAUAAUCUGAAAAAUUAUAAUUUAGCUUUUUUUAUCUUAAAUAAUAAAUCCAUGAAGGCUUAAGCUAAAACCAGGAUUUGAUACCCAAUUAUUUUAAGCUUCUAAUUAAAACUUGGGUAGUACGGGCACAUGUCUAAAACUCAAAAGAAUUGGCGGUAUUCUAACGUCUCAGAGGAACUUGUUUUUUAAUUUGAUAGUCCGCGUAAAAUGUACUUUCUUUAGAAAACAAUUUCAGCUUGUGUAUUGCCGUUUAUUGCUUACUUUUAAAGAAAUAAAUACAGUUUGGUUCUUGGUAUGGGCCGUUAUAUCAGGUCAAAAUACAGCUUAUAAGGAAGGAUUAUAAUGAGUUACUAUUAAUAUAAAUCGGAUUUUGAAAGUGAAAUUUUAAAUCAAGGGGGAUUUGAAAGUAAAUAAAAAAUUAGAAUUUUUUUUUGAAUUCUGUUAUCUAGAAUAAGUACAAAUCGCCCGUCGUCCCCGCUGAAAGGUGGGGUAAGUCGUAACAUAGUGGGUGUAACGGAAGUUGUACCUAAUAAC
rnacentral:rRNA from 1 species